rnacentral:rRNA from 1 species
UGCGAACGCUGGCGGCAGGCCUAACACAUGCAAGUCGAACGAACCUUUCGGGGUUAGUGGCGGACGGGUGAGUAACACGUGGGAACGUGCCUUUAGGUUCGGAAUAACUCAGGGAAACUUGUGCUAAUACCGAAUGUGCCCUUCGGGGGAAAGAUUAAUCGCCUUUAGAGCGGCCCGCGUCUGAUUAGCUAGUUGGUUGAGGUAAUGGCUCACCAAGGCGACGAUCAGUAGCUGGUCUGAGAGGAUGAUCAGCCACAUUGGGACUGAGACACGGCCCAAACUCCUACGGGAGGCAGCAGUGGGGAAUCUUGCGCAAUGGGCGAAAGCCUGACGCAGCCAUGCCGCGUGAAUGAUGAAGGUCUUAGGAUUGUAAAAUUCUUUCACCGGGGACGAUAAUGACGGUACCCGGAGAAGAAGCCCCGGCUAACUUCGUG